UCAAGAGAUUGUCUGCUGUUCCAAAACUGGAUAUCUAAUGGGAAGGAAAGAAAAGAAGCAGAGGAUGAUGAGGUGAAGCUCAGGAAUCUUUGCUACAUUACAUGUGAUAUGAAGCUAUUAGACCAAUUGGUACAGAAAAGAUGAUGAGUCAGAGAAGAGAAGCAGAAAGACCUACUGCACAGUCUACACACAGAUCUGGAGCACAGUGAACUAAGU